CCCUUAGAUGUUCUGGGCUACACGCGUGUUACACUGAUAUAUUCAACAAGCUUAAAUUUUCCUUACCCGAUGGGGUUGGGUAAUCUUUUAAAUGUAUAUCGUGAUGGGGAUAGACCAUUGUAAUUAUUGGUCUUGAACGAGGAAUUCCUAGUAAGUGCAAGUCAUUAACUUGCGCUGAUUACGUCCCUGCCCUUUGUACACACCGCCCGUCGCUCCUACCGAUGAAUGGUCCGGUGAGGAUUCAGGAUGACCGUGGAUUUUGGCCUAGCCAUGCCAUUGUGUCAGAAUUUGUUCAAACCUUAUCAUUUAAAGGAAGGAGAAGUCGUAACA
rnacentral:rRNA from 1 species